GCCUGGCUGGCUCAGUCGGUUGAGCGUCUGACUUGUGCUCAGGUCAUGAUCUCACAGUCUGCGGGUUUGAGCCCCGUGGCAGGCU
rnacentral:tRNA from 1 species